rnacentral:snRNA from 1 species
AUCUUAAACUGGUAGGGGAGAUGAUGAAAAAGGUGGUUCACUCAGGGAGACGCCCAGCCAUUGCACUCCAGCCAGCUCAUCCCUGAAAAUUCCAAAAUGUGGGAAUUUCGACGGCAUAAUUUACGGUGGUGGGGGACUGUGACUCAAAUUUCCUGC